GCGGGUGUGGCGCAGUGGUAGCGCAUCUGCUUCCCAAGCAGGUUGUCGUGGGUUCGAAUCCCAUCACCCGCU
rnacentral:tRNA from 1 species